UACGGCUAUAUUGCGUUGAAACAGCUUUUCUCGUCAGAUCACCGAAGUUAAGCAACGUUGGGUCUGGUCAGUACCUAAAUGGGCGAUCGCUAGAGAAUACCAGUUGCUGUAAG